GCGCUUGCUUUGGCAGCACAUAUACUAAAAUUGGAAGGAUACAGAGAAGAUUAGCAUGGCCCCUGCACAAGGAUAACAUGCAAAUUUGUGAAGUGUUCCAUAAAUUA
rnacentral:snRNA from 1 species